UACGGAGGUGGCAAGCGUUGCUCGGAAUCACUGGGCGUAAAGGGCGCGUAGGCGGGGAGGUAAGUCGGGUGUGAAAGCCUGGGGCUCAACCCCAGAAGUGCAUUCGAAACUAGAAGGCUUGAGUACGGAAGAGGGUCUCGGAAUUCCCGGUGUAGAGGUGAAAUUCGUAGAUAUCGGGAGGAACACCAGUGGCGAAGGCGGAGACCUGGGCCGAUACUGACGCUGAGGUGCGAAAGCGUGGGGAGCAAACAGG
rnacentral:rRNA from 1 species